GUUAUUUUAGUGCCAAUGUUUUCAUGAAUGGGGAGUAAGACUUGGUGGUAUAAUAUUUCUAAUAUACAAGCUAGCAAUAAUUACUGCUUUUCAGUAUGGGUUGAGGUUUAGAAUGAUCAUUGGAGCUGACUUUUAAGGUUAGCAUUACAGCUUGUCCUUACAGAUUGAUGUUGGAAAUGGCCAUUGGAGUUGAAUUUUAAAGAUAACUAUUACUGUGGCUGAAGGAAAUAAUUGUUUGAUUAAUUCUCCGUAUCCCUCAGAGUUGUUGCAAAGGUUAUUAACAUGUAUACAGCUUGGCACUCUACACAAGGCAUUGGAUUUAACGUCCCCAUUCUGAUCGGACAUGGCUGCGAAUUCAUACAUCCUUCACUUCCAAACAGAAGCCCCACUGCCAGUCUGAAGAAGACCAAGCGUGACCAUAUUUCUAUUCCCCAGUCACCCUUUGGGGUCUUUCUAACUUGAAGGAAAGGUUUCCAAUAGGAAUGGUUCAUAUAACUCUUGUUAAAACCAGUUAAAGAAUGUAUUUGAUAAAUUCUAAAUCAGAACUAAAACUACAGAAGAGUACAAAAUCCGCAAGUGAUAAUUUGCAUUUCACAAUUUGUGAAGCUAAUUGGAAGCACGUACCGUCUGUCGUUGCGAAGCCAUUUGGGAGCAUCUCUGUCGGGUGAACCUGAUUGGAAGUAGAACCUCUGGCAGACCAAAGCCAAUUAGAAGCAUGAACUCUGGGUGAAGCCAACUUGGAAGCAGUAACCUCUGGAAAGUUGAUUCAACACAUUAUUAAUACACAAAUUUUAUUCAACAUUCUUUUUAAAGUUUACUUUCAUAUCAUCUUUUAUUUUCUAUUUAUAAUUACUCACCUUGUUGACAUUGCGACAUGCAAAUUAUCACUUCACUAUUUUUUUACUAGCCUAUGGUUUUUAUCCUGAUGAAGGUGCACUAGGAACCGAAACAUGUAGUCAGAGUUUCAAAUUUAUAUUUUUGAAUAUGAUAAUGUAUUUUGUUUUGUUAAGUAUAUUAUAAAAUUUUGAACUGACACCAGUUUUUUUAAGCUUAUAGAAAAGUCCUAGGUGCCAUACAGAGUCAAAUGCACGUUUAAUGUCUACAAAACAUGCAUAUAAUGGUUGGGAUUUAUUUCAAAUGUAUUUUUGUAUAAGAGUAUUUAUUACAAACAUAUGAUCAGAUGUACUACAUCCUCUUUUAAAUCCAAUUUGCUCUUUACAAAUGAGUUUUUUCUUCUCAAAAAAGGCUGUCAGUCUAUUAUUUAAUAUUCUGUUAAAAAGUUGACCAAUAGUGUCACUUAUUGUUAUACCUCUAUAGUUUGAAGGAUCAUAUAUUGACCCCUUUUUAUGUAUAGUUGAAAUAUUCUCUUUGACCAUAUUUUAGGAUAGAUUCCUGCAGAAAAAAAUCUAUUAAAAGCUUUUAAAAAUAGUGGGUUAAAAAUUGAUUGGCAGUAUUUAAUUAUUUCAUUUAGUAUCAUAUUUAAUCCACAGGAUUUGCCAUUCUUUAAAGAUUUAAUAGCUUUUAGUAGUUCAGACUCUGUAAUCUUGAAAGUCUUAAUUCAUUAAAAAUAUUAGUUUUUUCUAAAUUAUUAAGCUCCUGUAGAAUUGAUUCAUUUUCAGCAGUUGUAUUUUUAUUUAGGGAUUUAAAAUGAUUCUCCCAAUCUUCCAAACUGAUAUUUGUUUCCUUUUUAUCAUUGUUAUCUCCUUUUAAUUUUUCAACUAAUUUCCAAUAGGCUUUAGGAUUUUCAUUUUUAAGAUUAUCUAGCUUAUUAACGAAAUAACUUUUUAACUUACAUUUAUCUUUUCUCGUUUUUCUGUAAUGUUUUAGGCAUUUAAAAUAUGACCCUCUAAUGUAUUGGUCAUUGCUAUACUUUUGCAAUCGAUUGCAUUUAUGAUCUAGUUCUUGUUUUAUUUUCUUAAGACUGUAAUCAUACCAUAACUUUUGCUUUCUGUUAUUAACUUUCUUUUAAUAUUUUUUCAUAGUUUUCUUCUUUUUUAAGGCUAAGUCGCCUGCAGUUAUAAUGAUUUUAUUUAGGUUAUCUAUCAUAUAUUUUUAUGCUUAUGAGUUAUAUUCAUGUAUGUUGUUUUUAAUAAUAAAAAAUUCCCAAGGCAUAUAAGUAUAACAGGAAUUGAUUGUCUUCUUGCACACAUGUAAUACAUGUAGGCGUAGGAAUUUUAGCACCAAAAAUUAGGUUGUAAAGUGAACUGAAAUUUGUACUGUGAACAUUGUAUUUUUUUUAAGGAUCUUUAAGAGAACAAAGAUUUGCAUAAUUUUGUAUUUUUUAAAUUAAUUUUCAUGUAGGUGGAAUGGCUAUACAAACAUAAUCGUAUUUCGACUUUUGUACCAAAUUUUUUAUAGCCGUAGUCCUAAUGACAAGAUUUCUUUUUACUUACAUAUAUUCAAACAAAAUUAUGUUUUCUUUUACUCAUUUCCCGGAGUGAGGUCCUACACUUAGAGUUUCGCUGGCAUUGACAAAAGGACACAGGUUUCCUAAAAUGGGUUUUUCCUGGUUGGCCACGGAACAUUGAAAUGUAGUUAUUCAGUUUUUCAAAUGCAAAAGGUUGACAUGAGAUUAUUCAGUUUUUCAAAUGCAAAAGGUAGACAUGAGAUUAUUCAGUUUUUCAAAUGCAAAAGGUUGACAUGAGAUUAUUUUUCUAGUAUAACUUAUUGAAUUCAUAUUGUAUAAUGUAUAGUGUGUAAUUUGUCUUAUUAAAUCGGCAGCUCACAAUAUGCAGUACUCGAGCUAGUCAAAAAACAUAAA